GGGAGUGCUCGCAAGAGAACCGGAACACAGGUGCUGCAUGGCUGUCGUCAGCUCGUGUCGUGAGAUGUUGGGUUAAGUCCCGCAACGAGCGCAACCCUUGUCAUUAGUUGCCACCAUUCAGUUGGGCACUCUAAUGAGACUGCCGGUGACAAACCGGAGGAAGGUGGGGAUGACGUCAAGUCCUCAUGGCCCUUAUGGGUAGGGCUUCACACGUCAUACAAUGGUCGGUACAGAGGGUCGCCAACCCGCGAGGGGGAGCCAAUCCCACAAAGCCGAUCGUAGUCCGGAUUGGAGUCUGCAACUCGACUCCAUGAAGUCGGAAUCGCUAGUAAUCGUGGAUCUAGCAUCGUCACGUGAAUACGUCCGGUCU
rnacentral:rRNA from 1 species